CGCAGUGCCUCCCGAGCCCGCCCGGCACCGCUCCCACCCGGGGCAUCCCCGGAGCCGCAGCUUUCCUGCGUCCCACCGCUCCUUCCCGGGAAACGGCGCAGGUGAGGAGGAUGAGGGAGGUCUGAGCCUCUCUUUCCCACCCCAGCACCCCAUGGAUCACCCGGAGCAAGGGGAAGCUCCCGAGCAUCCCACAAGGAAAACCAAGGUGACACCCGGAGCUCCCCGCGCCGUGUCCCCCUGCAGUGGCGGCCGGGCGGCGGCAGAGGGCGACAGCGGC